AUUGAACGCUGGCGGCAGGCCUAACACAUGCAAGUCGAACGAGUGGCGGACGGGUGAGUAAUGUCUGGGAAACUGCCUGAUGGAGGGGGAUAACUACUGGAAACGGUAGCUAAUACCCCCUACCAUCAGAUGUGCCCAUAUGGGAUUAGCUAGUUGGUGGGGUAACGGCUCACCAAGGCGACGAUCCCUAGCUGGUCUGAGAGGAUGACGAGCAACACUGGAAUUGAGAAACGGUCCAGAGUCCUACGGGAGGCGUAAGUGGGGAAUAUUGGAAAAGGGGGGCAAUCUGGAUGCGGUAAUGCCGCGUGGAUGAGGAAGGCCUUCGGGUGGUAAAGUACUUUCAGCGGGGAGGCGUUACCCGCAGAGGAAGCACCGGCUAACUCCGUGCCAGCAGCCGCGGUAAUUC
rnacentral:rRNA from 1 species